GACGAACGCUGGCGGCGUGCUUAACACAUGCAAGUCGAACGGAAAGGCCCUGCUUUUGUUGGGUACUCGAGUGGCGAACGGGUGAGUAACACGUGGGUAACCUGCCCUUGACUUUGGGAUAACUUCGGGAAACUGGGGCUAAUACCGGAUAGGAGCUCCUCCUGCAUGGUGGGGGUGGGAGAUUUUCCGGGGUUGGGGGUGGACUCGGGGCUUCUGAGCUUGUUGGGGGGGUAGUGGCUUACCAAGGGUGUGACGGGUACGGGGCCGGAGGGGGUGACCGGCCAAAUGGGGACUGGGAACGGGCCCAGACCCCUAGGGGGGGAGGCAGUGGGGAAUUUUGCAAAUGGGGGCGAACCCUGAGCCAGGAACGCGGGGGGGGGGAUGCCGGCCUCCGGUUUUAAAACCCCUUUGGCAUGUGCCGAACCGUGUGUGACGGUAAUGGGUAAAGAAGCACCGGCUAACUACGUG
rnacentral:rRNA from 1 species